UCUCGGCUUAUCACCGGCAGUCCCCUUAGAGUGCCCAACUGAAUGAUGGCAACUAAGGGCGAGGGUUGCGCUCGUUGCGGGACUUAACCCAACAUCUCGCGACACGAGCUGACGACAGCCAUGCAGCAUCUGUAUACCGACCUUGCGGGGGGACUGUUUCCAGCCAUUUCCGGUAUAUGUCAAGCCUUGGUAAGGUUCUUCGCGUUGCAUCGAAUUAAUCCGCAUGCUCCGCCGCUUGUGCGGGCCCCCGUCAAUUCCUUUGAGUUUUAGCCUUGCGGCCGUACUCCCCAGGCGGGGAACUUAAUGCGUUAGCUGCGACACAGAAACCGUGGAAUGGUCCCUACAUCUAGUUCCCAACGUUUACGGCAUGGACUAC
rnacentral:misc_RNA from 1 species